rnacentral:rRNA from 1 species
ACAUACCGCUGGUGUACCAGUUGCGCCGCCAGGCGCAUCGCUGGGUAGCUACGUAUGGAUGAGAUAAACGCUGAAAGCAUCUAAGUGUGAAACUCACCUCAAGAUGAGAUUUCCCAUUCCUAUAUGGAAGUAAGACCCCUGAAAGAUGAUCAGGUAGAUAGGUUGGAAGUGGAAGUGCAGUGAUGUACGGAGCGGACCAAUACUAAUCGGUCGAGGACUUAACCAAG